rnacentral:lncRNA from 1 species
AAAAAAGAAGUAAAGAGAGAAGUCGGAAGACAAAGAAAAGAGAACAAAAACAUAAAAAAGAAGGGGGGCAGAGAGCGGAAAAGGAAAAGAGUAAAAAUUGUGCCAGUAAGAAAGAGAAAGAGAAAUUUUGAAGACGGAGUUCGAGAAUUCGUUCGCGGUUUCAAAUUUGAUGUUUUAAAAAAAUUAGCAUUGCUAGCUUUGAAAAUCGGUAAAUUGCGGCUGUUAGCUUUUUGAACUCUUAGCGAAAGAUUCCUUCUCCUCUUCUCAGUUAUGUUAACCUAUUAUGGAUUAUUCUUAAAUGUGUUUAUCUGCUUUGCUUAAAAGUCAUAUCUUACGCCGUUUCAUUAUUGUCAAUUUCCUUAAUUUAAGUAGUUUGGUGUUAUUGUCUACUUGUAUGUUUAACCUGUAGCUCAUUAGCUUUAUUUUUCUAUGUUUCUUUUAGCUUGUAGUUUUUUUAUUUUCAUGGAUAAUUUUGAUAUUGAGUAAAGAACAAAAAA